GGUUGGUCCGAUGGCAGUGGGUUAUCAGAACUUAUUAACGUUAGUGUCACUAAAGUUGGUAUACAACCCCCCCACUGCUAAAUUUGACUGGCUUUUA
ensembl:misc_RNA Y_RNA Y RNA